rnacentral:misc_RNA from 1 species
GCAAGGUCCAUAAUGAAGCCUUUCUGGUUUCAUUUUGAUCAUCUUGUUAAUUAUGCUACAAUAGGCAUGGGACCAAAAAUGUAAAUGUCACUGCUUGGCAGCAGAACCUGGAAUUUAAAUAAUCCCUUGAUACACAUAGAAAGUAGUAACAAUUUUUAUCAUCAUGGAACUAUCUUCUAACCAAAGCUGCAGGUAAGAUUUUUCUUACCUUCUUUCUAUAGAAAAUCAAUGCUGAUCCUAACAAUGGCCAACUUGUUACAAUAGCAAUGAAUGCGAGCAUCCAUACGGAUCUUUGAUUCUGUCUAGAGAUCUGAUUUAGGCACCUUCUAACAGUAGCAGUUACAUUGGAAGACUUAAUAUCCUGUAUGUUUGUAUGCUGUUCAGAGGUUUGUGCAGUCUCCAAUACAAAAUCAGACCUUGCUUCUGUUGGGUGCUCCUCUUGUGCACUCAUUGCAGCCACCAUUCCAUCUUCUGCGAUGUUCACGUAUGGGCCCUGAUCAAUUGAAAUUCCCUCAGAUGACUGCAAGCUAGAUAUCUCCUCCUUUUGUACAUGCAUGUAAGGACUAGAAUGUAGAACAAGAAGAAAUUCAUCAACUGCCCUCACCCACCUGCAAAACAAAGAGAGAUAGGAGAGAAGAAAUUAACCAAGAUGAAGAUGAGAGAAAGGAAGCACCACUCAUAUCCAAGAUGAAAAGUUUGCCCAUCAAGGAUCACAAUUUAGUGAAAGUACAUUAUUACUGAAUAAAUCUCCAUUAAUAGACUACUUCAAGCAAUUACAAUUUACAGGCAUAAUGACUGAAGUGAAUGUCAGAAAGACAGAUCCUAGUAUCCUACUAUUGUAGAACUUUUAAGUACCACAAGCCAGAUGCAGUUAAUCCUUCGAAGAAUGCUAGAUGUCCACCAUUCUUUGGUGUGGCCAGCACGAUAUUUUUAUUAGCUCUGAAAAAAAGAAAAGCAUGUGAAUGUACGGCGUAUGCAUAUGUAUCAGAUCAGGUAUCAAAAUAACAUGACAAUAGGUAUUAAAGAGGAAAAAUAACCUUUAAAAUUAAAAGAAAACGAACAGAAGAAAGAGGCUCCACCUGCAUUCAUCCCAAGGAAUAGCUUCCCUAGUACAGACUGGAUCAUCCAGAGCACUGAUACAGAGUAGUGGCACUGACACAUUUCCUACGUAAUAGGAACUGCUACAGUGCCUGUAGUAUGUAUCCACAGUCUCAGAAAAAAGUAUGAUAUCUUUGGUUAGUUACAAAAUAGAAGAAAGUCCGAAUUUGAAGAACUAGUUGAAAAUGUCAUAUACUAAUACCUCAAAUUUCCCAACAAGGCAGGUUGCAUGGUUAUCGAAAUCUCGGAUAGAACGUGACUUUUUUAUGCCUUCCCAAUUAGCAAGCCGAGAAAAUUGAGGCUCAUGUCUGCAGUGACCAUUAGGAUUUAGGAGUCUUUUCAUACCAAGUCAAAGCGAAAAAAAAUAAGACAGAAAUCUACAAUCAAGCACUGAUAUUCAAAUUCAACCUAAAAUCCACCAAAAAGAGAAGGAAAAGGGGGAAAUAACUUGAUUGGAAUUUUACAGAUUAAGUGCCAUUACUUAGAUGUCAUUCUCAAGCACUCAAUUGAAAAGGGCACAUACAAUUUUGCAUAACCUUGAAGGCCAAUUGCAAGAGCCCUGUCAUAAAACUUUUGCAACAGCCUGCGGCAUAUAAAUCUAUCACCAAUCUUUAUGUUUAUUAGUUCCGUACAUCCCACUGUUCCAGUUACUAGUGUCGGUCCGGACAGUCAAGGGGUUUAGAACCAUAUUUAAUUUACCAUGAGAUCCCAUGGAUUACAAAGGGCUACAGCUCCAGCAACAUGAGUCCUCUCUCCAUCCUCCCCAAGAUAUUUUACCUAAAAGCAAAUGAUUCAGAAUAAAACAUCAGUAAUUAUAAAUAUAAUGUUAUCAUUAUUAUAUCCGGAUCUCACCAAAUAUGAUUAAUAAGUGACAAUAAAGAUAUAGAUCCUGAAGAUCGUGUAGCAUCCAACAAAGAGAGUGAUUAUGUACGACAAAUCCAUUCCAAGCCAAUAUGAGCAAAAAGAAAGGUUUGUAAAUCACCAGUUAGCACAGAAGAUUCAUUCAUACAUUAUGAAACCAGUCUUCACUUCUGUAAUAUUAUAAAAAAGUUUUGAAGGCCAUCAGCCAAAUAUUCAUUCUAGUCUCUGCCCAGUAAAAACAAGGAUAAAUCUGAACAGUCACAAAUUUAAAUUUAAAAGAACUACUGAAAGGCAGAGGCUUGUACUUCUCUGGUUCUUCUAAGGACUAGGCUUCACAGUCUCCAAAAUAAAGUUGAUCAACCUCAGGCAAAACCUAGAGUAGAGAAUUCUUUCAACAACAAACAGAAAGCUUAUUAAUUUGAAAACAGACCCCAGCAUGUCAAAGACCAUACAUCUGCAUAUGCUAUAAGAGAUAAUGAGGUACCAAGGCUAGGACAUAGAAGGACUCCACGGAAGAAAUUUAGCUUCCCUAGGAACUGAAAGAUAUUGAAAAACUUAAUCGGAGAAGGGAAGGGGGCAUACCUAGGGAAUUAAUUUUGAAGUAAUUUUCUUUUAAUAUGCUUAAAAGUAGACAGAAGACAUUCCAAAAUUGAGGGUAACUCUGUUUUUUCCCUUCUUUUCUAGAAACCAUUUAACAAAUGGCUACUACACUGUUGAAUCCUUUAUCUAGUCUAUACUCUUAUUCAAUCCCACAAAAAGACAUGCAUCAGUUUCCUUAUGGGGGAAAAUCCAUAGGAAAAUACCUCUUUUAUCAAAUUUUUUGCUUUCUAACAUUAAAAAAAUAAAAGUAACAGAAAGAAACAAGACUGUUUAGGUAAGAAGCCUAGGAGAGCCCAAGCAACAGCCAUCAGCAAGCCAUUCAUAGAUAAAGAAACAAUCCUGUGAAGUUUAGCAAAUUGAAGUUUCAAAUAUAUAAAAUGAACACAAAAC